GUGCCAGCAGCCGCGGUAAUACGUACCGUCCUAACGUUAUUCGGAAUUACUGGGCUUAAAGGGUACGUAGGCGGCCCUGUCAGUCGGGUGUGAAAUACCUCGGCUCAACCGAGGAACUGCGCCCGAUACUGCAGGGCUUGAGGGAGACAGAGGUAAGCGGAACUGAUGGUGGAGCGGUGAAAUGCGUUGAUAUCAUCAGGAACACCAGUGGCGAAAGCGGCUUACUGGGUCUCUUCUGACGCUGAGGUACGAAAGCUAGGGGAGCGAAGGGGAUUAGAUACCCCCGUAGUCC
rnacentral:rRNA from 1 species